GACGAACGCUGGCGGCGUGCCUAACACAUGCAAGUCGAGCGGAGAUAAGCGGAUGGUAACUGAAGUUUGUCUUAGCGGCGGACGGGUGAGUAACACGUGGGCAACCUGCCUUGGAGUGGGGGAUAACACCGGGAAAUCGGUGCUAAUACCGCAUAACAUACACAUACUGCAUGGUGAGUGUAUCAAAGGAGCAAUCCGCUUUAAGGUGGGCCCGCGGCUGAUUAGCUAGUUGGUAAGGUAACGGCUUACCAAGGCGACGAUCAGUAGCCGACCUGAGAGGGUGACCGGCCACACUGGAACUGAGACACGGUCCAGACUCCUACGGGAGGCAGCAGUGGGGAAUAUUGCGCAAUGGGGGAAACCCUGACGCAGCAACGCCGCGUGAGGGAAGAAGGUUUUCGGAUUGUAAACCUCUGUCCUUGGUGAAGAGAAGAAGACGGUAGCCAAGGAGGAAGCCCCGGCUAACUACGUG
rnacentral:rRNA from 1 species